GUAGCGCGGGGAUACCGGUGAUCCACGCGACGCUGCGAAUGUCGCCGGACUAUCGCGAAUUGGGGCGUGCGCGGUUCGGCUUGCGCGGCGCCAUCCC
rnacentral:tRNA from 1 species